rnacentral:rRNA from 1 species
UACGGAGGGUGCAAGCGUUGCUCGGAAUUAUUGGGCGUAAAGGGCAGGUAGGUGGUCUCAUUUGUCUGGGGUGAAAGCCUUGAGCUUAACUCAAGAAGUGCCCCAGAAACGGUGAGACUAGAGUACUGGAGAGGGUCGUGGAAUUCCCGGUGUAGCGGUGAAAUGCGUAGAGAUCGGGAGGAACACCAGAGGCGAAAGCGGCUCACUGGACCAUAACUGACGCUGAGGCGCGAAAGCUAGGGGAGCAAACAGGG